AUAUACUGACCCGUAGCCCACAUUGUUACUGAAAAUUCUCCUUCCAAAGUUUUUAUUUGAACCUGUUUUUGUUCCCAUUUCUUCGAUGAUGAAGGCGAAUCAAAGUUCAAUUCUCCAAGUGUUCCAGCACUAACAUAAUUUUUUGAGCGACUUCCUUUCUUUUUACUCCCUUUGCCCUUUCUAUAUGUACAAAUUUCUUCUGUAGAUACUUCUAUUUCAGGCGCAGGAACAGGUAUACUGUCAACAUACACGAGGUUAGGAUCACCGACAACUUCCUCACGAGUUUGUAAAAUUAUUUCUUCCUGUCCAUCUGGCAAGGGUUGUAAAGCUAUCAUAGGUUGCACUUCAAUUGUUUCAUCGGUCGUUUCAACUGUCUCUAUCGGCACUUCAACAGGGAUCGAUUCCACCUCAACUUCUUGAAUUUCAACUUCCGAACCAAUGAUGGACGCCAUGUUGGUAAUGGCGGCCAGCAAGUUUUGUUCGCUGGGGGUCGUAGUUAACUCAUUUGUCACGUGAUAAAAUCAUUCAUGUGUAUCUGAAAGUCGUAAGAUCAUUUUAGAAUAAAGUUAAAUGGUCUGACACAAACGAUUUAUAUUAUAGGAGCAAACAGCUGUUAACAUAUUAAAAGUAUGGGCGCUCAAGUUUCUCAAACGGACUAUGAAUGGGUGUAUACGGAAGAACCACAUGCAACACGAAGAAAAGAAAUAUUGGGUAAGAAUAAAUAAUAUUGAGUGAGACAUGACACCACUGGCACUGCAGUACUAUAUAUAUAUAACUGAGACACCGGUAUCUCCACACCCAUUUUUAAUGUUGUAUAAGGUCUAAAAUUUUACCAGAGACAUAUUAUAUCUGUUUUUACAUGUAGCAAGGAUUUGUAUAUUUUAUUUUAUUAUAAAUAUUAUUGGAUACAACCUUGACUAUAAUUUUUAAUUAUAGUAUAAUAUUUUAUGACUACUGAUUUUUUUUAAAAUCUUAUUAUUUUUCUCAUACUUGUAUACAUGUAGGUUCUUGUGGACAGGACAUUUUUUUAGCCCUUCUUUUUUCUGAAAUUAAUUAUUUUUGAGUAAAUAAAUCACUAUAUUGUCUGAACAUAAAUAUACUAGAAAUGUUCCAUGGAAAAUGGAAAACAAAGCAUGAGAAAUAAAUAUUAGGAAAAAAGUACUAGAUGCUAUUACAGCCAUUUUUGGAGAUCAUGCAUUCAUUAUCAAUGGACAUGUCAGAAGACCCUCUGGUAACCUUUUAGCAUCCGCUAUAAUAUUUUGUAUAUCCGAUUAAGAGUUUGAUUUGUAUAUUAAAUGGCACUCAUUUCCCCUGCAAUAGAUUUGUUUUGCAUUGGUUGUUCUUAUUCAAUUAUUUUACAAUAUAUCUUUGUUUAUAAAAUACAAGUGAAACAUAAUACAUGUACAAAUGUACUUGUAUCAUGUGUAGUGAAGUACUGAUAAUUUAUAACCCUUAACUUAAGAAUAUAUACCCUAACUUAAGAAUGAAUACCCUCAACUUAAGAAUGAAUACCCUAACUUAAGAAUGAAUACCCUUAACUUACGAAUGAAUACCCUAACUUAAGAAUGAAUACCCUAACUUAAGAAUGAAUACCCUAGCCACCACCCUUUUUUCAAGUGCAAAUUUUUAUAUUAAUAUGAAGUGUAAUAUUAAAAUUUUAAAACUGCGAAUUAUCAGGAUUUUUUUUUUUAAUUUUCAUCUAUUGACAGAAUAUUUAACUUCUAUUUGCUAUUUACAGUGGCAGAUCCAGAACUUUUCCUAAGGGGGGGGGGGGGGGGGGCCGCUCAGUCAUGCUUACUGAUUCAAUAAUCAACCAAAUUUUUCCCACGAAAGGGGGCCCGCCCUGGAUCCGCCUAUGAUUUAAAAGCCAAGUUUACAUGCACUUUAAAUUAACAUCACUUAAAGGGCACUGCUGUCAAAUUCAAUGUCACGAUUGAUUCAAAUCUCAUAUUUGAUUUUAACAAUGUAAAACAUUUAUCCAAACUAUCAAAAGUCUAAAAAAAAACAAUUUACAGAGCAGGGUAGAUAAUAUAUAGUUCGUUUGUGUAUUUAAUCCAGAUCCAUCUUAUUAACUAUCGAUUUGACCUCAGAACCAUAUAAACGAUGUAACAUAAAUAAAGAUAUGAAAUAUUAAAACAACACGUGCAAUGGAUUUUAAGGCUGUUUGAUUUUUUUUAUAGAUUAAAAAUAGAUGUUUCUCAUUGUUUUUAACCGUAUAAGAAUGAUUUUAUGUGCAUCGAAUAUAUAGGGUUUACAGAAAAGAAAAGAAAAACUGAGAAAGAAUAUAAAAAAUGGAGUUUAAUAUGAUGCAAAAGUGUAAAGAAAAGCUGUUAAAAAAAGAACUAUAUGUGCAAUAUUGACAAAAAUAUGAUGAAUAGAAUAAUAAAGAUAUAUCAUUAUUAAAUUACAUGAAUAUUUUUAAUAUUAGUACAAUGCAUACAAUCAUUUUAUAAGCAUUUUACAGAAUUGGUAAUAUUUGCAAAGAUUAAGAAAGAUGUAUGAGGAAUUUAAUGAAAGUAGAAACCAAGAACCUCCUAUCCCUACCCUCAUGUGUAUUGCAUGAAUACAUGUAUAUCACAGAGAAAUGAACAUCAUUGUUUACAUUGGUAUUGAAUGUAGUCCCAGCAACAUGUCUAUCAUUGUGUUAUCAAAAGAAAGAAAUUCAAUACAACUAAAUUGAAUUUUUAAUUGCAAGUAUUUGUAGAUAUGCAAAUACUAAAAAAUUAUUCCACAAUCAUAUUGAUUAUGAAGACAUGAAUAUUUUGCCAACACAGUUGAGUACCGCUGCACAAAAAUAAAAUUUGGCCCUAUUUCACAAAAUAUACACAGUGACAAUAGAUUCUGAAAUUAUUAUAAAAAAAAAGAAGCUAAAGUUGAUUGGCUGUUUAUGUAUAAAUAUACCAACUUCAAAUGUUUCAUUUUAGAAUGAACAAAAGAUGAAUAGUUGUAAAUUGAAAUCCCACAAAAGACAUUUUUCUUGUAUUGUCAGAGGUGUUUUCAAUUUCAUACAUACAUUGUGUAAUGGCCUGCACAAACUUGCUAACCUAGUACAUGUGUGCACUCAUGACUGAAUUUAAAUGUCGUCAUUUAUGAUAUGUAUUUGUGUAGACUAUAUCUAGAUAAAACCUGCAUGUCAACAUUGUAAUGCAUGUUUUACAAAUAGUGCUUAAUCUUUGAAUGAAUGGAUAAAGUUUUUAAAGGUAUCACGAAGUACAUUGUAAUAAAUGUAUAAAAGUUUUAAAUAGAUUAAUUUAAAGUUUACACAUUCAUGCCUCUUUAUUAUUUUGUGUUACUGUGUUUUUCCACCUAAAUAAUUCUUCAUAUAUAUAUUAUAUUUGAAUUUGAACAAGGUGAACCAACACCUGAAGUGGUUAUCGUGUGGUUGGGUAAUAGUGAGUGGAUACCUUAAGGUAUUCACAGUUGUCUUUCACUAUGAAAAGUAAAAUAAAACAAUAACAAAGACAACAACACCCAUCAAUUACCGCAUGGUAAGAGUUUAUUAUGGUCCAUAUACUCCAUAAUAAACUCUUACCAUGCGGUAAUUGAUGGGUGUUGUUGUCUUUGUUAUUGUUUUAUAUAUGAUAUAAUAAGAAGACGUGGUAUAAUUGCCAGUGAGACAACUACAUGUAUGUUGCAGCUGUAUUGAUUGAUGAAAGUAACUGAUUCAGAUCAAGGAUUUUGAAAAAGGGGGUUCCUGGCAAGACACAAAUGUUAGGAGUGACAUGUAUAGUUUAUAAAAUUACCCUAUACCAGUAUAUGAACAUAGAUGCUCCUUUGUGGGGGUGGGGGCUUUAUCUAUCUCUGAAUAACAACAAGUAGAUCAUUUAAAACACAAAAUACCAUAAUUAAGUACAUGUGAUGAUAAAUGUACAUGUUCAUGUUAAGUAUACCUAAAGAUAGCUACAAUGUACUGAAAAACCAUUUUUAUCUAACAAAAAAAAUCUAGAUGAAAACAUAGUCUUCAGAUUAUGUAUUUAUAAUUGUUUUUAAUAUGACUAGCUUAAAUACCAUAAUAUUGACAUGAAUAGACAAAACAUUCACUCACUCGGGAUAAAAAAAAAACUGAGAUUACCGGUACUACAAACUAGGGAUAAACACACAGAAAAAUGAGGCAUAAUAACAACUUUCAAAAUCAAUAUACAAUAUAUGAUCUUUAUUUAAAGUAUCAUUUAACAGCAUGGAUUAUUCCUUAUACACUUUUUUACUUACCCUAAUAAUUCAUUCAUUAUAUUCGCUGCUCUUAGAUGGCUCCUACAAGUAGGAGAGAUCAAUUUAGAAAUGGAAAUACUAUUAUUCUGGUACUUUUUUACUUGCUAAGUGUUUUUUUUAUUAUUUACAUUAUUAUAAACUGAUUUCCUGUUAUGAUGAUUUUUUUCAAUUAUUUUUUUCCAGCUAAAUAUCCAGAAGUAAAAAAGCUGAUGGGACAUGAACC
rnacentral:lncRNA from 1 species